rnacentral:lncRNA from 1 species
UAUUGACUAAUGGCAACUUGGUAAAAUAUUACAUAAAUCUGUCCAGACUAUGUUUAUCUGUGGCUAUGAAUAUGGGGGGAAAAAAAACAAAAAACCCACCAUCACUGACAUAUGCUGUUCUUUAGGAGAAAAUUAAGACAGCACAAAAAUCAUCAGAAAGAUUAAAUCUAAAAAGGACACAGGAUGUAAACAAUGAGAGGAAGGACUCUGGAAAGAUACUUACAAGGUAACCAAAAGGAAUAAAAAUGUGCUAUAUACUUGCAAAAGAACAUCUGAAUCACAAAAUGUUUAUGCAGUGUUUCCCUGAUAGUAACAAGUUCUUGCUAAGUGACACGGAAAAAAAUGAUUCCAAGAUUCAUAUAAUUCCCAUUUGAUCAUAUGAAAUUAUGUUAAUGUAAGUCCUUUUGAAGCUGUAUUCUUCUUUCUUUCCUAUUUGUCUCUUUCUGCUACAGUUCUAGACUCAACUUCUCAUCUCCUGCUCCUUUCUCUCUUUUCAACUAUUAAGAACCACUAAAUUGAAAUUCAUGUACUAAAAUUUGAGCAUGGUUCUAGAA